rnacentral:rRNA from 1 species
UACGGGGGGGGCAAGCGUUGUUCGGAAUUACUGGGCGUAAAGGGCGCGUAGGCGGCGACUCAAGUUAGAUGUGAAAGUCCUGGGCUUAACCUGGGGACUGCAUUUGAUACUGGGUUGCUUGAAUUCGGGAGAGGAUAGCGGAAUUCCCAGUGUAGAGGUGAAAUUCGUAGAUAUUGGGAAGAACACCGGUGGCGAAGGCGGCUAUCUGGACCGACAUUGACGCUGAGGCGCGAAAGCGUGGGGAGCAAGCAGG